rnacentral:sRNA from 1 species
GGAACUGAGGACAAUUUGGGUACAACUAUCACCCCAUCAACCCCCAGAGUUGGUGCUGUUUAUUUAUCUGGCUAGGCCAGUGUGUCUGUCUUCUCUCACCACUCAGUGUUGAGACGUGUGUUCGCUGGACUAUUUUUUAGUCAAAGAUACAAGGGUAGCUAUUCUCCCACUCUAGAAACUCCAAACAAACUCUCAGGAAUAAGACUCAGGCCCAGCACAGGGCUCUAAUCCCCGCACUCAGGAGGAAGAGGCAG